UUAUGUUGAUUAUAGCCUUCUUGUCAUUAUUUUUAAGCUCACUCCCUUGUUCGUUAUAGCCUUCUUUUCCUUAUAUUUAUGUGAUGCGGUUACUCCCUUGUUCGUUAUAGCCUUCAUCUUAUUAUAUUAAAGGUUACUCCCUUGUUCGUUAUAGCCUUCAUCUUAUUAUAUUAAAGGUUACUCCCUUGUUCGUUAUAGCCUUCAUCUUAUUAUAUUAAAGGUUACUCCCUUGUUCGUUAUAGCCUUCAUCUUAUUAUAUUAAAGGUUACUCCCUUGUUCGUUAUAGCCUUCAUCUUAUUAUAUUAAAGGUUACUCCCUUCUUCGUUAUAGCCUUCAUCUUAUUAUAUUAAAGGUUACUCCCUUCUUCGUUAUAGCCUUCAUCUUAUUAUAUUAAAGGUUACUCCCUGUUUUGUUCUUCGCUCAUUUUCCGUUUUUUCCACUGCAAGUGUGCAUAUUUAUUUAUUUAUUUAUUAUUCAUUUAUUUAUUUAAUGUUAUUUGUAGUAGUUAACUGAGGGGGGCACUACCCUGGCCUCCUCUUCCUCUAAUUCUCUUACUUCACACAUUUAUCUUAAUACUUCACACUAUUGUCCAUAUGCUUCAUUUUUUUAUUUUUUUAUUCAUGACUUUUUAUCCAUACCUCACACUUUUCUUAGUAUUUCACAUUUUUUCUAGAUCAUACUCUACACUUCCUACCUGGGGGACGCGGGUUAGGCCUUUAUAAAGUCACUCUAUGGCUGCAUGCCCGCCGCGGCACACCACCACCCAGUGAGGCGUAGAGCCCCGUGCUCCCCUCCAUCCUGGGGUAACAAUCCUAAAACAAACAAACCUGAGAGGCAGGACGCUGCCGCUGCCUGUCACCUGACACCCUCUCACUGAUGAAUGGAUCGCGGCGCGGGUGGAGAGAGACUGCCCAUCCCUCUCCACUCCGCCCGGGAAGGAACUCAUGAAUUCUCGGUUGAGUCGCGUGUGCUACCCAUUGCACUACAGAACAACAGUGGUUGGCCAGAGUUUCCAUUACCAUAUCGUCAAAGUCCAUGUCCUCCGGAAGAACCAUUAAUUAUAUAAUUAAAUCGUCACUAUUAUUUCCGCCACUUAAAACGAGCAAAGCUUA